rnacentral:rRNA from 1 species
GAUGAACGCUGGCGGCGUGCUUAACACAUGCAAGUCGAACGGCAAGGCCAGUGCUUGCUCUGGUACUCGAGUGGCGAACGGGUGCGUAACACGUGGGUGAUCUGCCCUGCACUUCGGGAUAAGCCUGGGAAACUGGGCCUAAUACCGGAUAGGACAAUGGCUUGGAUGCCGAUGUGGAAAGCUUUUUCGGUGUGGGAUGAGCUCGCGGCCUAUCAGCUUGUUGGGGGGGUAAUGGUCUACCAGGGCGUCGACGGGUAGCCGGACUGAGAGGGUGUACGGCGGCAUUGAGACCUAGGGGAGGCCCAGACGCCGAAUAUAGGCAAAAGGGGGGAAGAUUGCACAAGGGGCACAAGGCGGGUGCAGAAAGGCCGCGGGGUGGAAGACGGCCUUCGGGUGGAAGACACGUAGCGGGUGAAUCGAAGGGUGUUUUGGACGGAACCUGGGAAAGAGGCACGGGCAAAUUAGUG